rnacentral:rRNA from 1 species
UUGUCCUACGGGGGGCAGCAGUGAGGAAUAUUGGUCAAUGGGCGGGAGCCUGAACCAGCCAAGUCGCGUGAGGGAAGACGGUCCUAUGGAUUGUAAACCUCUUUAGGCGGGGAGCAAUGCCGGGCACGCGUGCCCGGAGGGAGAGUACCCGCAGAAUAAGCAUCGGCUAACUCCGUGCCAGCAGCCGCGGUAAUACGGAGGAUGCGAGAGUUAUCCGGAUUUAUUGGGUUUAAAGGGUGCGUAGGCAGAUUUUUAAGUGAGAUGUGAAAUACUCGGGCUCAACUUGAGUGCUGCAUUUCAAACUG